GUUUCUGUAGUUGAAUUACAACGAUGAUUUUUCAUGUCAUUGGUCACAGUUGAAUGCUGUGUGGAAAUA
rnacentral:tRNA from 2 species